GGGAGCAGGCGGAAGAGCCUCUGGGCGCUGGGCUCGGGCGUCCGGGGGCCGCUGAGGGGCCACUCGGGGUGCAGGAAAGGGCCCCCGGGCCUGGCCGGCCGCGCUCGAGGUGUCGGGCCGCGGGCCUGAGGGAGGAGGAGGGGCCGUGGCCGGCGACGGGGCCCGGAAGCGGUUCUGGAGGCGCAGCAACGGCGAAGUCUCGGGCAGCAUCCAGCAUGUGUACGGCGCCCAGCACCCCCCCUUCGACCCACUGUUACACGGCACCUUGCUCAAGGGCGCGCCCAAGGCGCCCGCCACACCCGUGAAGGCCAAGAGCAUCAGCACCUUCCCGGAGUUUGAGAGCAACACCAGCGACGCCUGGGAUGCCGGCGAGGACAAUGACGGGCUCCUGGCCGUGGCAGCCGAGAGCCUGAACACCGACGUGGUCAUGGAGACGGCCCACCGCGUCCUGCGCAACCACAGCCAGCGGCAGGAGCGCCGCAAGCCGCAGGAGGCGCCGGGCCCCGAGCAGGAGCCACAGCCUUCGGCAGAGCCUCCUUCGGUCCCGAGCGGUGACCUCGGCUGGUGAAGUCCGUCAGCGAGAGCCACACAUCCUGUCCUGCAGACAGCGCCGGCGACACUGCUCCUCUGCAGUGGUCCCAGUCUCUCCCGCACUCGGUGGCGGCCGCCGUGGGUGGCACGUCUGACCCCAGCGCCCUCAGCAGCUCAGCGUUAAGUGAACGAGAGGCCUCCCGGCUCGACAAGUUCAAGCAGCUCCUUGCCGGCCUGAACACAGACCUCGGGCUGAGAUGCUUCUAGAUCAGUACCGAAAGAAGUCAAAGCUCUUCCGUACUACAGUUGUCCUGGCCCCACUAGGAGAUGAUUUUCGCUACUGUGAACGCAUAGAAUGGGAUCAUCAGUAUAAGAAUUAUCAGCUGCUUUUUGAUUAUAUGAAUUCUCAUCCUGAGUAUAAUGUUAAGAUACAGUUUGGGACUUUAUCAGAUUAUUUUGAUGCACUGGAUAAAGAAGAUGUAACCAUUAGAAAGAAUAGCCAAUCCAUGUUCCCUGUUCUAAGUGGAGAUUUUUUCACUUAUGCUGACCGAGACGAUCAUUACUGGAGCGGCUAUUUUACAUCCAGACCCUUCUACAAACGAAUGGAUAGGAUAUUGGAAUCCCAUCUAAGGGCUGCUGAAAUUCUUUACUAUUUCGCCCUGAAACAAGCUCAGAAAUACAAGAUAAGUAAAUUUCUUUCAUCAUCCCAUUACAUGGCACUGACAGAAGCCAGAAGAAAUUUGGGACUGUUUCAACAUCAUGAUGCUAUCACAGGAACUGCAAAAGAUUGGGUGGUUGUGGAUUAUGGUACCAGGUAAUAUAAUUAUUAAAAAGUGAUUAUAAAACAAUUUUUUUUUAAUUUUGGGUCACAGGCUUAUAUCUUUGAUGAAAUUGUUAAUGUACAUCAGACCAUAU